UGUAAGUCAGAUGUGAAAGCCUUCUGUUCAACGGAAGAAUUGCAUCUGAAACUGCAAGUCUUGAGUGUAGGAGGGGAGAAUGGAACUUCUGGUGGAGCGGUGAAAUGCGUAGAUAUCAGAAGGAACGCCGGCGGCGAAAGCGAUUCUCUGGCCUAUUACUGACACUCAGUGUGCGAGAGCUAGGGGAGCAAACGGGAUUAGAUACUCCGGUAGUCCUAGCCGUAAACGAUGGGCACUAAGUAGAGGGAAUUACCGAUGUUCUCUCUGCCGUAGCUAACGCAUUAAGUGCCCCGCCUGGGGAGUACGGCCGCAAGGCUAAAACUCAAAAGAAUUGACGGGGGCUCGCACAAGCGGUGGAGCAUGUGGCUUAAUUCGAUGCAACGCGAAAAACCUUACCGGGGCUUGACAUGGUAGAAGUAGGAACCCGAAAGGGUAACGAACGGUAUCCAGUCCGUAGCUAUUACAGGUGUUGCAUGGCUGUCGUCAGCUCGUGUCGUGAGACGUUGGGUUAAGUCCCCUAACGAGCGAAACCCUUAUUUUUAGUUACCAGCGGGUUGUGCCGGGUACUCUAGAAAGACUGCCGUCGUCAAGACGGAGGAAGGUGGGGAUGACGUCAAGUCAUCAUGGCCCUUAUGCCCCGGGCUGCACACGUGCUACAAUGGUCGGUACAAACGGAUGCGAAGCCGAGAGGUGAAGCGAAUCCAAGC
rnacentral:rRNA from 1 species